GUAUCAAUAAGCGGAGGAAAAGAAACCAACAGGGAUUGCCUCAGUAACGGCGAGUGAAGCGGCAACAGCUCAAAUUUGAAAUCUGGCCUUUCGGGGUCCGAGUUGUAAUUUGUAGAGGAUGCUUCGGGCAAGGCUGCGGUCUAAUUCGCUUGGAACAGCGGGUCAGAGAGGGUGAGAAUCCCGUCCAGGACCGCGCGCCGCGUCCGGGUGAAGCUCCUUCGACGAGUCGAGUUGUUUGGGAAUGCAGCUCUAAACGGGAGGUAGAUUUCUUCUAAAGCUAAAUACCGGCGAGAGACCGAUAGCGCACAAGUA
rnacentral:rRNA from 1 species